rnacentral:rRNA from 1 species
AAGUACCCCGAGGAAAAGAAAUCAACCGAGAUUUCGUUAGUAGCGGCGAGCGAACGCGAAGGAGCCUGUUAGUGAUAAUGACAGAGACAGAGGAACAAGCUGGGAAGCUUGGCGAUACAGGGUGAUAGCCCCGUACUCGAAGUCCAGGUCAUGGUACUAAGCUAACGACAAGUAGGGCGGGACACGUGAUAUCCUGUUUGAAGAUGGGGGGACCAUCCUCCAAGGCUAAAUACUCCUGAUUGACCGAUAGUGAACCAGUACUGUGAAGGAAAGGCGAAAAGAACCCCGGUGAGGGGAGUGAAAUAGAACCUGAAACCUUGUACGUACAAGCAGUGGGAGCCCUUUAAGGGUGACUGCGUACCUUUUGUAUAAUGGGUCAGCGACUUAUAUUUUGUAGCGAGGUUAACCGAAUAGGGGAGCCGAAGGGAAACCGAGUCUUAACUGGGCGUCUAGUUGCAAGGUAUAGACCCGAAACCCGGUGAUCUAGCCAUGGGCAGGUUGAAGGUUGGGUAACACUAACUGGAGGACCGAACCGACUAAUGUUGAAAAAUUAGCGGAUGACUUGUGGCUGGGGGUGAAAGGCCAAUCAAACCGGGAGAUAGCUGGUUCUCCCCGAAAUCUAUUUAGGUAGAGCCUUGAGCGGACACCUUCGGGGGUAGAGCACUGUUUCGGCUAGGGGUCCAUCCCGGAUUACCAACCCGAUGCAAACUACGAAUACCGAAGAGUGAUACUCAGGAGACACACGGCGGGUGCUAACGUCCGUCGUGGAGAGGGAAACAACCCAGACCGCCAGCUAAGGUCCCAAAGUCUAUAUUAAGUGGGAAACGAAGUGGGAAGGCUUAGACAGCUAGGAUGUUGGCUUAGAAGCAGCCAUCAUUUAAAGAAAGCGUAAUAGCUCACUAGUCGAGUCGGCCUGCGCGGAAGAUGUAACGGGGCUCAAAUAUAGCACCGAAGCUGCGGCAUCAGUAGCAAUACUGUUGGGUAGGGGAGCGUUCUGUAAGCGGAUGAAGAUGGCUCGAGAGGGCUGUUGGACGUAUCAGAAGUGCGAAUGCUGACAUAAGUAACGAUAAAACGGGUGAAAAACCCGUUCGCCGGAAGACCAAGGGUUCCUGUCCAACGUUAAUCGGGGCAGGGUGAGUCGGCCCCUAAGGCGAGGCUGAAAAGCGUAGUCGAUGGGAAACGGGUUAAUAUUCCCGUACUUGGAUAAACUGCGAUGUGGGGACGGAGCAGGUUAGGUUAUCGCACUGUUGGAUAUGUGCGUUUAAGUUGGUAGGUGUGAAGUUUAGGCAAAUCCGGACUUCUUUAACACUGAGAGAUGAUGACGAGGCUCUACGGAGCUGAAGUAACCGAUACCACACUUCCAGGAAAAGCCACUAAGCUUCAGGUUUAUCUAAACCGUACUGAAAACCGACACAGGUGGUCAGGUAGAGAAUACUCAGGCGCUUGAGAGAACUCGGGUGAAGGAACUAGGCAAAAUAGCACCGUAACUUCGGGAGAAGGUGCGCCGGCGUAGAUUGUAGUCCCUUGCGGAUGAAGGUUGAACCGGUCGAAGAUACCAGCUGGCUGCAACUGUUUAUUAAAAACACAGCACUCUGCAAACACGAAAGUGGACGUAUAGGGUGUGAUGCCUGCCCGGUGCUGGAAGGUUAAUUGAUGGUGUAAUCGAAAGAGAAGCUCCUGAUCGAAGCCCCAGUAAACGGCGGCCGUAACUAUAACGGUCCUAAGGUAGCGAAAUUCCUUGUCGGGUAAGUUCCGACCUGCACGAAUGGCAUAAUGAUGGCCAGGCUGUCUCCA